ACAAUCUGGGUCCUUGUUGUCGUGGGGUUGCUUUCUCAUUGUUCUUAAUUAAUCUUAUCAGACAAGAAUUUCAAUCUCCUCCUCCAAGAAGACCUCCAUGCCGUGUCUGUUUCAGAGUUUAUGUUGUUUCCGUGACUCCUCUCUCUAUCUUUUCCUUCCCCAUCUCUGUCUCGUUAAACCGCCCAGCCCACGCUCUUGUUUUUGUUUUGUUUUGUUUUCACAAUGCUGCCUUGAACACUAAACGACAAAUAAAAACCCACACAUAUCAUGGCAACCACCACCACUACUCGCCUUGAACUCCAACCCAAGAAGCCUAAACGCCGCACAUGCCGUGAAACCACCAUCUCCUCCUCUGUAUCUGCUAUCAACGAUACUGACCCGCGGUUCACCGGGUCCUUGCCCCGUAACCCAAGCCGGAAUCUUGACACACCUACCGUUGUCUCCUCAGACAAUUACUGGUGUUGUCCGGCUUCUAAACCCCUACAUUCAGCGAACACGAGUUCAAAAGAACUCGAUUCCCCGUCUACAGUGAAGAUCCGAUUCUCUCCUGGCAGUCUAUCACCGGCAAUGGACUUCACCGGCACCACCACCUCCACCACUAUGACGUUCAGUAAUGGACAUCACUCUCCAAAUGAUUCUUCAUCGUUCCCUUCGAGCUUCUCGAAGUUCAACUCUGCACUCACUGCGGGUCUCCUAAACCCGAUGUCCCCUCCGCCUCCGUCCGACAAAAUGGCCCGAUCCAGCCCGACCCUUUUCGAAAUGAUGGCAAGCGAGCCCGAUGUACAGCCCAGAACACACCAGAUCCCCACAACCAACCCCUCUCGACCGCCUCUGCCACAACAAAUUUCAGCUCAGGACAAGCAGAUAUUGAUAAUGCAGCGAAUAACGGAUCUAUUGGUGAGUAGGAGUCCCGGGAAUCAGUUCAACGAUGCGAGCUCCAGUGAUGUUAAAUUGAUUCUGAGUUCUAAAGAUGGAAUCAGUGUUUCCAUAAAUGUGCACAGGCAGAUCUUGCUGGUGCAUAGCAGGUUCUUCGCCAUGAAGUUUUCGGAUCGGUGGGCCAAACAACAGAGAGGGUCGUUGCCAUACGUUGUUGAGAUUGCGGAUUGCGAUGAUGUGGAGGUUUACAUGGAGACUUUGAGGUUGAUGUACUGCAGGGAUCUGAGGAAGAAGCUUAUGAAAGAAGAUGUUUCUAGAGUUCUUGGUAUUUUGAAAGUUUCAGCCGCUAUUGGAUUUGAUGCUGGGGUAUUAUCUUGUCUGGAAUUCCUUGAAGCUGCACCAUGGACCGAGGAUGAAGAAGAGAAGGUGGCUUCACUGUUAUUGGAGCUGAGGCUUGAAGGAGUUGGGGCAGGAGAGGUCUUAAAGAGAGUUUCUGUUGAUGUAAGCAAUGGAGGUGAAGAGGGUAGUGACAACGAAGGAGUUCUUCUCAAACUUUUGCAUGUAGUACUUGAAGGCAAAGAUGAGAAGGCCCGGCGUGAGAUGAAAGGACUAGUGUCAAAACUGCUUCAUGAGAAUUCUUCUCAGACUGAUCUCCGCAAGGAGCCCUUGUACUCAGCUUGUGAUGGGUGCUUGAAAUUGCUUCACCACAACUUCCUUGGGGCAGCAAGAGGGAAUUUGGAGGAUGUUGGUCAGAUUGCACGGCAGGCUGAUAAUUUGCAUUGGAUUUUGGAUAUAUUGAUUGAUAGGGAGAUAGCUGAGGAUUUUCUGAAUAAAUGGGCUUCUCAGUCUGAGUUGUCUGAUGCACAUUCAAAAGUUCCAGCUAUUCAUCGAUAUGAGGUUAGCAGAGUUACAGCAAGGUUAUUUGUUGGUAUUGGAAAGGGGCAGAUGUUGGCUUCCAAGGACGUGAGGUGCUUGUUUCUACAGACCUGGCUGGUGCCAUUUUAUGAUGAUUUUGGGUGGAUGAGGAGGGCAUGCAAAGGUCUUGAUCGGCACUUGAUUGAGGAUGGUCUUAGCAGCACAAUUCUCACCUUGCCUCUUGCUUGGCAGCAGGAUAUUUUGCUUGCUUGGUUUAAUCGGUUUUUAAAUUCUGGUGAAGAUUGUCCAAAUAUACAAAAAGGAUUUGAAAUCUGGUGGAGGAGAGCUUUCUGGAGACGUAAUGGUGAGCAGGAACGGACACGGCCUUUACGAAUAAUGACUGCGACCAUUGAGAACUGAUAAUGCACUAGAUUCCACGACGCCAGAUAUGAUGGUGCUUGAUUGGAUUUAGGGAAAUAAAUUCUUGGUGGAUUUCGGAAAAUAAGAGUGACAAUACAAAACUUCAGGGGAAGAAAUUUGGUUUCGAUAAGGGAAUUCUACAAAAAGGAUGGCAAGGAAUUUCCUUAUAUUGAUGGACAAAGGAAAAAGGUCUUGGUUAAAUUGACUGGCCAAGAAAAUGGUAAACACACCGACAAAAUCAUACCAAAUUUCUCUCAAAAUCGACAAUCCCGACUUCGACAGAGAUACUAUUCCGGCGAUUGUCCUCUAUCACAUAUGGCAAUGGCUUCGAUUGUAUUUAGUUCUUCGGCACCAUUCCAUGUUUUUGUUAGUAUUUACAAGGUUUUAAAUGUGAUUCUGAUCCUAUGUUAGAGCUUCUCUUCUCUGUUAUUGUGUUUAGAUCUUCAAGUAAACGCAAUGUUAUUAGGUUUUCGACAUAGAUUUGGGUUACACUAUCAUUUGGCUUUCUACAUGU